GACGAACGCUGGCGGCGUGCCUAAUACAUGCAAGUUGAGCGCUGAAGGUUGGUACUUGUACCGACUGGAUGAGCAGCGAACGGGUGAGUAACGCGUGGGUAAUCUGCCUUUGAGCGGGGGACAACAUUUGGAAACGAAUGCUAAUACCGCAUAAAAACUUUAAACACAAGUUUUAAGUUUGAAAGAUGCAAUUGCAUCACUCAAAGAUGAUCCCGCGUUGUAUUAGCUAGUUGGUGAGGUAAAGGCUCACCAAGGCGAUGAUACAUAGCCGACCUGAGAGGGUGAUCGGCCACAUUGGGAAUGGGACACGGCCCAAACUACUGCGGGAGGCAGCAGUAGGGAAUCUUCGGCAAUGGACGAAAGUCUGAACGGGGAACGCCGCGUGAGUGAAUGAGGUUGUCGGGUCGUAAAACUCCGUUGGUAGGGAAGAACGUUAGUGAGAGUGGAAAGCUCAUAAAGUGACGGUAACUACACAGAAAGGGACGGCUAACUACGUG
rnacentral:rRNA from 1 species